UAAUACGGAGGGUGCAAGCGUUGUUCGGAAUUAUUGGGCGUAAAGGGCGCGUAGGUGGUUGUGAUAGUCAGAUGUGAAAUCCUUCGGCUCAACCGAAGAACUGCAUCUGAAACUUCAUAGCUCGAGUACAGGAGAGGGAAACGGAAUUCCCGGUGUAGAGGUGAAAUUCGUAGAUAUCGGGAGGAACACCAGUGGCGAAGGCGGUUUCCUGGCCUGAUACUGACGCUGAGGCGCGAAAGCGUGGGGAGCAAACAGG
rnacentral:rRNA from 1 species